AACGAACGCUGGCGGCGUGCCUAACACAUGCAAGUCGAACGAGAAAAGGUCCUUCGGGGCCCGAGUAAAGUGGCGCACGGGUGAGUAAUGCUUGGGUAAUCUACCUUAUGGUCUGGGACAACACUUCGAAAGAGGUGCUAAUACCGGAUAAGACCACGUCCUGUUCGCGGGAUGGGGUAAAAGGUGGCCUCUCCAUGGAAGCUAUCGCCAAUAGAUGAGCCCAAGUCCCAUCAGCUAGUUGGUGAGGUAAUGGCCCACCAAGGCUAAGACGGGUAGCUGGUCUGAGAGGAUGUCCAGCCACACUGGAACUGAGACACGGUCCAGACUCCUACGGGAGGCUG
rnacentral:rRNA from 1 species